AUUGAACGCUGGCGGCAGGCCUAACACAUGCAAGUCGAGCGGAUGAAGGGAGCUUGCUCCUGGAUUCAGCGGCGGACGGGUGUGUAAUUCCUAGGAAUCUGCCUUGUAUUGGUGUAUAACGUCCUUUAACGGGCUCUAAUACCGCAUACGUCCUUAGGUAGAAAGUGGGUGAUCUUCGUACCUCUCGCUAUCUUAUUAGCCUAGGUCGGAUUAGCUAGUUGGUGGGGUAAAGGCCUACCAAGGCGACGAUCCGUAACUGGUCUGAGAGGAUGAUCAGUCACACUGGAAGUGAGACACGGUCCAGACUCCGACGGGAGGAAGCAGUGGGGAAUAUUGGACAAUGGGCGAAAGCCUGAACCAGCAAUGCCGAGUGUGAGAAGAAGGUCUUCGGAUUGUAAAGCACGUUAAGUGGGGAGGAAGGGAAGUAAGUUAAUACCUAGAUGUUUUGACGUUACCAAAAGAAUAAGCACCGGCUAACUUCGUG
rnacentral:rRNA from 1 species